UAUACACUUAUUAUAAUGCACUAUGUAGCCUACAGGUGUACAUGUAGUGACAGGCAUGGAUCUACACUCACUUCCUGUAGGCCCUAUUCCAAUGAGGCACUGGUGAUUCAUCAAUAGAUCUGAAUUAAAGGGCAAGAUCAGGAACGUUAUGUGAAACAUGUAGACUCUGAUCUGGUUCUGGAGAUGAAUACGAAAAGCGGUGGAAAUUCCGCUUUAAUCUGACGUGGGGAUAUCUCUGCUUUCUAGAUGCAGACGUCGGAUCACCAGCUACUUGAACGAACAGCGACCUUGUAACCUACGGAUGCCGGUGGGCCGGGAGGGUCGUCAGCGACAUGGGAAACACCUGGGCCCGGGUGUGUCCCAGGAUAGACCUCUUCCAUAUUCAUUGAGAGACUCUCUCCAUGCAGACACACUAUUGUUUACCUUAGUUAAUAAAUAUUUUUUGUUAUUCCUUA